AAAGAGGCAACAGUGUCUUGUUCCUCUUAACUGAUCGAAAGUGGGACACGUGACAUUUUCCCGCGCUUUUUGUUGAUAAAUAGGCUAACAUGUAGCCUUCAAUCGUUGGCCACAUUUGUGACAGCUGUUCCCGCGCGAAUGUGGACUGUGUGAUAGCCUACCUGAUCCCAGGGUCCCGUUUACGUCGCUGAGCAAAACAUGCAGGGAUAGCCACGGUUUUCACGUCAUUCUGGACCACCCUGAGAUGGCACAUCAGUCGGGUCCCUCAUCAUGAUGAAGAUGAUACAUUGCCACUCUCUACUGAAGAGACUGACCCUUUUCAUGGAAGCUCAGUACGGCCCUUCAGGAAUGCAGAGGCUACAACUACAAGUGCCUUCUCACAUCCUUAUAAUGGAGGUCCCGCUCAUUUCGAUCGAGGACAUUUCUUGACCUACAGCAAUCUACAAUCACAUGAGCCUACACAAAAUUGGUCCAUGGUUUGAGCCAAAUUGUUUGAGACAGUAAACUAUAAGCUAUUCCUAUUAGGUUGUGUGAAAUGAAGUGGAAACUGCAUCACGUCGGAGAAAGUUGUGCAACAGAACGUCUUUGCGAGAACUACAGUCUGCACGAAAAAGGAUCCUGUAUAACAUUUUGCAGCAGCGGUGCUAGACAUGAGCCUCUUGCGUCUCACGGCUCAGCUGGCUGGGCUGAACCCAUGAGCUUUUACCCCAGCUACGUUCCUGGAGGGUAUUUCCUGCCAAGUCUUAGACAGCGGGGUUCCACAAUUUCUCUAGUUCGCCCCGGAACACUGCCCUAGACUGAAGAAUCAAGACUGCCAGGCUAAGCAGCCACCAAGCUCUGCUUCGCCACCAUUGCCAGGAUCCACCAAGGAUGAGGUAGAUGUGGGAGGAGGGAAGAGAAAGCACAAAUACAGACGACAGGACUGAAGUGAGUGAAGUGAUAAUAGCUCCUAGGGAUCGGAGUUCUUUCCCAACAUUUCAAAACAUCUCUGUGAUUUUUCAAGGACAUUUGUAGGAUCUUGUAGUAUC